rnacentral:rRNA from 1 species
AUUGAACGCUGGCGGCAGGACUAACACAUGCAAGUCGAACGAGUGGCAGACGGGUGACAAAUGUCUGGGAAACUGCCUGAGGGGGGGGGAAAACCACGGGAAACGGUAGCUAAUAGCGCAUACCAUGAGAAGCCCCCAGAUGGGAUUAGCGAGUAGGUGGGGUAAGGGCUCACCUAGGCGACUACCCCGAGCGGGUGUGAGAGGCUGACCAGCCAAACUGGAACUGAGACACGGUCCAGACUCCUACGGGAGGCAGCAGUGGGGAAUAUUGCACAAUGGGCGCAAGCCUGAUGCAGCCAUGCCGCGUGUAUGAAGAAGGCCUUAGGGUUGUAAAGUACUUUCAGUGGGGAGGCGUUACCCGCAGAAGAAGCACCGGCUAACUCCGUGCCAGCCGCCGCGGUAAUUC